CACUGGGCUGUACUGGGUUGUACUGGUCAUACUGGUGGCACUGGUGGUACUGGGAGCCCUGGUGACACUGGGAGCACUGGUGAUACUGGUCAUACUGGUGAUACUGGUGGUACUGGUGGCACUGGGCUUACUGGGCUGUACUGGGUUGUACUGGUGGCACUGGGGAUACUGGUGGUGAUACUGGUGAUACUGGGAGCCCUGGAGACACUGGGAGCACUGGUGAUACUGGUCAUACUGGUGGUACUGGUGGUACUGGGAGCACUGGAGACACUGGUGGCACUGGUGAUACUGGUGGUACUGGGAGCAGUGGGCUGUACUGGGUUGUACUGGUCAUACUGGUGGCACUGGUGGUACUGGGAGCCCUGGUGGUACUGGUGAUACUGGUGGCACUGGGUUGUACUGGGCUGUACUGGUGGCACUGGUGGCAAUGGGGAUACUGGUGGUGAUACUGGUGAUACUGGGAGCACUGGUGGCACUGGGAGCACUGGUGGUACUGGUGAUACUGGGAGCACUGGUGGUACUGGGAGCACUGGUGGUUCUGGUGCUGAUACUGGUGGUACUGGUGAUACUGGGAGCACUGGUGGCGCUGGGUUGUACUGGGUUGUACUGGUCAUACUGGAGGCACUGGUGGUACUGGGGAUACUGGGAGUACUGGUGAUACUGGUGGUGGUACUGGUGAUACUGGUGGCACUGGUGCUACUGGGUUGUACUGGGUUGUACUGGUCAUACUGGUGGUACUGGUGGCACUGGAUUGUACUGGGUUGUACUGGUCCUACUGGUGGCACUGGGGAUACUGGGAGCACUGGUGAUACUGGUGGUACUGGUGACACUGGGAGCACUGGUGGUACUGGGAGCACUGGUGAUACUGCUGACACUGGUGGUACUGGGUUGUACUGGUCAUACUGGUGGUACUGGUGAUACUGGGAGCUCUGGAGACACUGGGAGCACUGGUGAUACUGGUCAUACUGGUGGUACUGGGGAUACUGGGAGCUCUGGAGACACUGGGAGCACUGGUGGUACUGGGAGCACUGGUGGCACUGGUGAUACUGGGUUGUACUGGUCAUACUGGUGGCACUGGUGACGCUGGUGGUACUGGAAGUACUGGUGAUACUGGUGGUGGUACUGGUGAUACUGGGAGCACUGGUGCUACUGGUUGCACUGGUGAUACUGGUCAUACUGGUGAUACUGGUGGUACUGGUGGCACUGGUGGCACUGGUGAUACUGGGAGCCCUGAUGAUACUGGUGGCACUGGUGGUACUGGUUGUACUGGGAGCACUGGAGGCACUGGGUUGUACUGGUCAUACUGGUGAUACUGGUGGUACUGGGAGCUCUGGAGACACUGGGAGCACUGGUGAUAAUGGUCAUACUGGUGAUACUGGUGGUACUGGUGGCACUGGGCUGUACUGGGUUGUACUGGUGAUACUGGUGGCACUGGUGGCACUGGGCUGUACUGGGUUGUACUGGUCAUACUGGUGGCACUGGUGAUACUGGCGGUACUGGUGGCACUGGGCUGUAAUGGUGGUGUGCAGGACCCCUUCAGGCCCCGCCCCCUUCAGGCAACAUCCAAUCAGGCCACGCCCUCUCAAGCCACGCCCAUGACAGGCCCCGCCCCACUUUGCCGCAAUGUCCAAUCCGGCCCCGCCCCCCCGCGCGCUUUGGCCCCGCCCACUUUGAUUAACGCCCAAUCGCGCCCCGCCCCGAUUAUGCCCCGCCCCGCCCCUCCGUUUUGGCCCCGCCCACUUUGCGG
ensembl:lncRNA